CCCGCGCUCCUCCGGGCAGAGCGCGUGUGGCGGCCGAGCACAUGGGCCCGCGGGCCGGGCGGGCUCGGGGCGGCCGGGACGAGGAGGGGCGACGACGAGCUGCGAGCAAAGAUGUGCCCCGGGACCCCCGGCACCUUCCAGUGGAUUUCCUUGCGGAAAGGAUGUUGGCGGUCCCUGUGACCUGUGGAGACACGGCCAGAUCUGCCCUCCAGCCUGAUCUUUUGGCCAGAAGGAGAUUAAAAAGAUGCCCCUCAAGAUGGCUGUGCCUGUCAGCUGCAUGGAGCUUCGUUCAAGUAUUUUCUGAGCCUGAUGGAUUUACAGUGAUCUUCAGUGGUCUGGGGAAUAACGCUGGUGGAACCAUGCACUGGAAUGACACACGCCCGGCACAUUUCAGGAUACUAAAAGUGGUUUUAAGGGAGGCUGUGGCUGAAUGCCUCAUGGAUUCUUACAGCUUGGAUGUCCAUGGGGGACGAAGGACUGCAGCUGGCUGAGAGGGUUGAGAUCUCUGUUUACUUAGAUCUCUGCCAACUUCCUUUGGGUCUCCCUAUGGAAUGUAAGACCCCGACUCUUCCUGGUGAAGCAUCUGAUGCACGUUCCAUCCGGCGCUCAGCUGGGCUUGAGCUGACCAUACUCCCUGGAGCCUUCUCCCGAGGUGCGCGGGUGACCUUGGCACAUACAGCCAUCAUGAUGGUACUUUAAGUGGAGGCUGAAUCAUCUCCCCUUUGAGCUGCUUGGCACGUGGCUCCCUUGGUGUUCCCCUUUUACUGCCAGGACACUGAGAUUUGGAGAGAGUCUCACUCUGUGGUCCAGGCUGAAGUACAGUGGCAUGAUCCCAGGUCACUGCAACCCCCACCUCCCGGGUUCAAGUGAUCCUCCUGCCUCAGCCUCCCGAGUAGCUGGUAUUACAGGCGUGUGCCACAAAGCCUGGCUAAGUUUUGUAUUUUUAGUAGAGACGGGGUUUCACCAUGUUGGCCAGGUUGGUCUCGAACUCCUGACCUCAAGUGAUCCACUCACUUUGGCCUUUCAACGUGCUGGGAUUACAGGCGAGAGUCACCGCACCCGGACGACUCUGACAUUUUUGAAGAGUCCAGAAUCCUGUUACACCUGGGAUUUAGGCACUUUCAAUCUGAAAAAAUACAUAUCCUUUCAGCACUCUGGACGGACUUGAGAACUGUCCUUACGUGACCUAAAGCUGGAGUAUUUUGAGAUUGGAGAAUUAAGAGUGUGGGCACCCUGGCUUCAAGCUCACGAGAAACCAGAAGGAAGUCACUGUGCAUAGCCAUCCCCUAAGAAGAGGGCAUUCCUGCUCUUCCUUCUCCAUGGCUAGAGGAUCUACAUGAACUAUUUAGAUUUUUUCUACCUGGGAGAUUUAACUCCUCUCUCCUAUUUAUUUAUUUAUAUAUCAGCAUGGACUUGCAGGCCAACAGAGAUUUUGAGAAACACAUUGAAGGAUCUGUUAACACUUGAUAUACCCAAUAAAAGCAGUGGUUGUGCCAGUGCUGAUCUGUCUUGAUGUGAAUGUGAACAAUGGGAACCUGAGCUGAGCAGUUAAUGCUAGGGUGACAGAAACUGGACCUCUCCCAAGACAUGUGACAGAGUAAUACAGCAGCCAACUUCUUCGCCAAAUUAAAGUUUUACAAGAUUUAACCUGUCAUCAAGACCUGGGAUUUUGGUGAAGGACAGAAUAACGGGCUCCCAGAUUCACAAGCCCCACCAAGAGGAUCACCCCAGGAACGCUUGGAGGCUGAGGAGUUCACUGAGGCUACUGCAUCUUGAGACUCAGGAUGAAGACCCAGCUUGGGGCUGUCAAAGAGGCCUGAAGAGGCAGAACACCCCAGAGGAGCCUGGGGCCACCACCCAGCAUCACUGUGGGAAAACGGCAGCAGGAAAUGUCCUCUCGCCUGCGUGCUCCACCUCGGUCCACGCCUUCCCUCCUUCUGGAAGCCUUGCCUGACCACUGGCCUGCCCCUUCUAUGGGAAUCACUACUGACCUUGCAGCUUAUUAUAGACUUAUAUGUUUUUUGCAUGUCUGACACCCAUGACUCCACCUGGACCUUAUGGCUCCACCCAGAAGCAAUUCAGCCCAACAGGAGGACAGCUUCAACCCAUUACGAUUUCAUCUCUGCCCCAACCACUCAGCAGCAAGCACCUGUUACCUGUCCACCCCCACCCCUUCCCCCAAACUGCCUUUGAAAAAUCCCUAACCUAUGAGCUUUGAAUAAGAUGAGUACGAACUUCAUCGCCCACGUGGCGUGGCCGGCCUCGUGUCUAUUAAAUUCUUUUUCUACUACAA
rnacentral:lncRNA from 1 species